ACCUGAGCGGCCCGGGUGCCGCAGCAGGGCGCUGACGAGUCCCGCCGAGCCCCGCCGCCCGGGUUCAAGGCCGCCUUCACGCCCACGAUUCCUUGUUUUUUGGGCAGAGGUCAAGGCUCAACGGAGAGGGAGCCCGGGACCGAGUUGUGGUGGGAGUUUGCUCCUAACACCCGCGAAAUCCUACCUCAAUUCCUCAGAUGGCCUGAGGGAGAAACCGGAGGGCCCGGGAAUGGCGGGGAGCUCCAGUUCAGAGCCGGAACUCCGGACUUCUGCAAGGCCAGACGUGAGGCGACACUGAAUUGCUCCCGAGACGCGGGAAGGGCGAAGGCAAUCGAAGCGAAGAGCUUUAACUCAUCUUCUCCAGGAUUUGGGGCACGGGAACCUGUCUCCUGACCUUCGUGCCUUACCUCGGAGUGUGCUGCCCAGACGGACUUGUGAAUAGCUGCGUCUGUCCCCAUAGUUAACGGGAGAAGGAAACACCAGGAGAAAAGAAGGAAAAGACAGGAAACGGGAAGAGGAGCAGAGGCGAGGAAGGGGAAGGUCAUUUCCUUGGCAGGAGUGAAGACUAUUGGAGGCUUUGGAAAAGUUAAGCAAUUGCUCAAGGUCACAAACUGGGAAGCUGGGACUCAAAGCCUUUGCUCUGACUUAAAGGCAAACAGAAAAUAUUCAAGUUAGAAUUUAAUGAAUUUCCUCUCUCAGAAACAUCCCCUGAUUCCUCUGUAAAGCCACUUCACUUGUAAAUUCAAUUGUGGUCAAUUCCAUAUGUUGUCUUUUUCCCCUGAAGUUUUGCUUCCAAGCCUCUCACCAACAUCUUUACCAAUGAAUAUCCUGCACUUUUCUUUAAAACCUCUUUCAAAACCUUUUCUGUCUUUUUCGUAUUUCAACUUAUUUUAUUUCAAAACAAAUUUAUUAAAUCUUUACUUUUUUUAUUCUAGUGAUAUACAUUAAUUUCAAUAUUGCAUUCCAGGUGAUAUUUAUGUAAAUAUGUGAAAACUUAAUACUGUGGGCUGAUUUGGCACUGUUUGUCACUCUUAUUGUGUGCUUGACUCUCUCCCUCCCCUUCAUCGGUUCUCUCUCUUUAAACUUUUUAUUAUGGGAAAUAGACACAAAUCAAGAGAAUGGUGUGGUGAGCCCUUAUAUACCCAGUACCCACCUUCAACAGUUAUCAGCUCAUGGCCAGUCUUGUUUCCCUUGCAGUCCUACCACUUAUCCUCAUCCUGUGUUAUUUUAAAGCAAAUCUGAGGCAUCAUAUUAUCCCUAAAUAUAUUUAUACAAACCACAAUAUCAUUACUACACUAAAAAUUCACAAUAAUUCCUCAAUAUCAUCAAAUAUCUAGUUAGUGUUCAAAUAGCCAAUCAUGUUUAAAAGGUGUAGCUUUAAAAAAUUACAGUUUGUUUAAUUCAGAGUCCAGGUAAGGUCCCACACAUUUCAAUUGAUUGAUGUGCCUCUUAUUUCUUUAAGUCUACCCCGUGUCAGUCCAUUAUUGCCUGUGGGCAGGAGGACUUAGCUCCCUGGGUGCACUCAGAGCUUUUGGUAGCCAACACUCAGGGAAGUUGGGGGGGAUCUGGGGAGGGUAUCCACUGCAUCCACUGCUCAGGGGAAUUAGGGGGAGAAUUUCCAGGCACAAGGAACAGCAUGAGCAAAAAAACACAUGAAUGGCACAGCGUAGCAUGACAAACCCUUUCUUUAGAAAGUCUCCUAGCUUAGCACAUUUAAUUUCCAUCUCUUCUUAUUACUUUAGCAAUUAUCUGUGUCAGAGGUGGCCAAGUGUUCACCAGCAUCCAUGUUCCCCUUCUUCCUUUUUAGCCUUUUUAGCAAUAGGCACGUAGCAACACAGCUAUAGAUAACAUUGCCCACCCUUUCUGGCUGACAGAUGUGGCCAUAUGUCUAAGUUUGGGUCAAUAGGAUGUGAGAAUACAAUAUAUAUGCAACUACUGGGUAGAAAAAAAAAUCUACAUAAAUUUUCUUUCAACCCCUUCCUGCUGGGAAAUGGCAACAAGCAGAGUUCUAGUCUUAGAUGAAGACAGCUGUGUUGCUUCAUCAGCAUUUGCCCCUGAAUGACCAUAUGGAACACAGUCACCUAACUACCCUAGGCCAUUCACUUACCUUAAGACUGAUGAGAGAAAAAUAAAAAUAAACAUCUCUUUUCUAAGUGACUAUAAUUUUAUAACAGCAACGCAUCCUUUACUAUACCCAAUAGAGCAUCCCAUAUGUAACAUAUUAUUUCCUACUUUUCUGGUUCACUCAUCAAGUAUAUACAUUAGUCACCCUGGGAAAAGACACUAUAUUGGAAAGUGAAUUUGCAAAAGUUGCUUAACCUCCUUGAGCCUCAGGUACUUAUCUGCUAGAGAAAGAAAAGACAUAUCUAUAUCUCACAGUGGUUUUUUGUUUUGUUUUGUUUUCCUUUUCUCCCAUCAGUAGACUGUAAAGUACUUGAUUAUAAGGGCCACAAACUUUAAUGCUUUUUUCCCCUCAAUCUCCCAAGCAGCAGUUAUUGUAAAGGUCUUGACUGCCAAGUGCAUAAAAUUGUUAGUUAUCUUGAGAAAGACAGUCCACUCAAAUUUUGAAGGCCAGACAUUUAGAAAAUCAGAUUUUUUAACUUUUAAGCCUCAAAUAAAGUUAACUAGCUCUUGACAUUUUAAUAUGCAGAUGUUAAUCUGCCAAAUCUUGGGUGUAUAAAAGCUUAGUUUCUGUCUAUAAGAUAGAUCGGGAAGGAAUUUUUGAAAAGGACUAAAUAGUGAACUUAUUUUCUGACCCACAGAAGGCACACAUCCUGUAUGAUAUGUAGUCAAUAACUAUGAUUUAUUAAAGCAGACACAAUAUGAUAUGAUAUAUAUAAAGCACCCAAAAGUUGCACAUAGUUCACUUCCAGUGAUGGUGACUGAAGCACGGUAGUGUGUGCAUAUGUAUGUGUGUGUUGAUGGGAAUCAAGGGCAAGGGGGAAGGAAGGUUCACCUCUUAGAGGGAUUAGUUGGCCUCAAGUGCAUAGCUACUACUGUUUUCAAAACAGAAAAUAAGAAACAGCCCUCUCUAUCAUAAAAAGUCACUUUUGCCUGUAUAGAAAUGUGUGUCCAGCACAUUGUUAUUUCUUCUUAUCAAAGACCUGUGAAUAAGCAACUGUUGUUAAAGAUAUAUAACCAAAAGUUAUUAUUAACCAUUAUGCAUCACUAACAUAGCAUUCGACAAACGUUCAUAUGGUGUGUGCUAACCACAGGGCAAAAGCAAAAAAGAAAAAAAAAAGGACAAUUCUAAUUAGAUCUAAAAAUGUAUCCCAAAUGUGCUUCUAAUCACUCAUCCUCUCCGCUCUGUUGCCUUUUGAAGUGCCUCAGAGGCAUUUAACACUUCACAAGAGGGGCCAUAGGUGACAUAUUUCCUCAUUCUUUCCAAUUCCAGACAGCAGCUCACACACAUCACAACAUAAAGGUCACAAACAUAGACAGAUGCCUGUUCAGAAUACAAAUGUUGCUGGGCUUGUUUUUCUCUGAGGAGCGCUCCAUCCCAGUGAGUUGUAAGAGGAAUGCACUUGGCAGUCUGUCAUGUAACAUGGCUGGUUGUGCCCUAUUGUCUACUCUGAGACUUGUAUUCACAGAAGGUGGGCUUCCCAGGGCCAAGGGCUGUUUAAUAAUGUGACAAUUAUUAACUCAGCAGCAAAAGUAACCUAAGAGAUCACUGGCCCAAACUCCCACCCUUGCCCAACAUCUUUUACUAAUGCCAUCUGGCUUUUGCUGAGUGACCAGUUCUGAGAGGGCUCUUCUUGAUUGCAGCUGGAAGGCAAGAUGAAGCUGCUAAGUUACUUGGGACUCUUGAACUGUCUGCAUGAUCCAGCACAGAUGUAGUCAAUCUGCUAUUUGAUAUGAGUUUGCCUCCUCCCACUUAGUGUUUGGGCAAUUGAAAGAAGGAAGGGAAAUUCCAGGACAGCCAACCAGUCUAGGGGAGGGGAGGUAGAACUGGGGAAAUACAAAAGUAUCAAUGAAAAAAAGGAGAAAGAACACAUAGGAAACAGAUGCCUAAGGAAUGAGAGGCAGAUCAACCUGAGGAAGCUGAUUUAAAAGAAGAAAAAAAGAAAGGGAGGCAAGCAAGGUAUUUGUAGAGAAACUCUGAAGGUGGCACUGUCAACUGAUGGUUUAUUUUUACUAAAAGAGUGCUGAGAACUCUGUCUGGAGUGAAUGUGGUUACAACUAUGAGGUACUGAGUUUAUUACUGUUGCCAAAUUGAGAGCAACUUAGCAAUGACUGUCAAAACUCUAAACACAUAUUCUAAGGGAACAACAAUCCCAUUGUUAAGGACAUAUUCUACAGACACACAAACUCAACAGCAAUGAUGUUCACUGAUUUGUUCAUAGUUGCAAAAAACUGUAACAACCCAAAUGUACAUUAAAAGGGGAAUGGUUAAAUAAAUCAUGGAAUGUGAAAAUAUUAAAAAGAACAAAGUAACUAUAUAUGCUGAUGUGGAAAGCUGCUCACACUGUUUUAGGAAUGAAGAAGGUUGUGAAAUAUUUACACUAAAAUUCUAUUUGUGAAAAAAAGAGUCAAUAUAUUUGUUUGCAAAUGCACUGAAACUAUCAGGAAAGAUAAAAAAGGGAGCUUUAUCUUUGGGGUUAUUUCUGUUGGGGGUGAUGAAGAGUUUGAUGAGAGAUUUUUAUUUUUAUUUACUUUCCAUUUUAUAUCUUUCUAUAUUGUUUGCACAUACACUGUUUAUAUGAACUUUGCACAAAAAAUACUGUGCAGUUGUGAAGAAAAGGUAACAUUAUGUACAAACAUAAGUUUCCAAAACCUAGUAUUAAGUACAAAAAGCUAGUUUUGAAAUAUUAUGCAUAAUUUGACCUCACUUAUGUUUUUAAAAAUUAUGUACAGGAGUAUUCAUAAAAAGAAAAAGAUGGAAGGACACUCAAAACUUGUUUAACAAUGUUACCUAUUCAGAGAAGAGAACAUUUCCAUGUAACCCGAGUUUUAAUUUCUAAAGAGUAAAACAAAAUAUUAAAUUGUCUCUCCUACCUCUAGAGAAGGAUGUUGUUGUAAAGGACUAGAAGUGACUCAAUGACAGUCUAGUUAUUUCCACACUGUGGCUCUCAGAGUAAGAUUAUAAAUAAAUGGUCCCAGGCUUUUUAAAGUCUAAAAACCAUUAGUCUAAUCACAAACUCAUCAUUAUAGGUGACAAAUACAAAAACCAACUUUGCCUAAGGUUACAUUGUGGCAGAAUAGAACUAGAAACUAGGUGUUUUGACUGCUAAUUCUUUUUGUUUCUAAUCAUACCAUGAACCAUAUCUAAGGAAAGCCAAUAUUGGCUGGGCUCAGUGCCUCAUGCCUGCAAUCCCAGCACUUUGGGAGACCAAGCUGGGAGGAUUGCUUGAGGCCAGGAGUUCAAGACCAGCCUGGACAACAUAACAAGACCCUGUCUCUACAAAAAUAAAAAACUAGCCAUGAGUGGGGGCAUGUGCCUGUAGUCUCAGCUACCUGGGAGGACGAGGCGGGAGGAUCGCUUGAGCCCAGGAUAUCAGGGCUGCAGUGAGCCAAGAUUGCGCUACUGCAUUCUGGCCUGGGUGACAAAGUGAGGCCACCUCUCAAAAAAAAAAAAAAAAAAAAUUAAAAUUUAAAAAAAAGGAAAGCCAAUAUUUAUUGUUCAUUGAUAAUCUAACUACUAGUCUAUUAUGUACUAGGGACAUGUACUUAGUAGAUGAUAAAGGGUAAAAGACAGCAAGACACAGACUCUACCUUGGAGAAAAACUGCAAACACACCAGAGAGACCCUCAGUGCUGGAGAAGAAUCUGGACAGAUCCCUCCUUAUCUAUAGCAAAAUUGGGGCUUGCUCUUAGGAACCCCUACUCAAAGACUCAGACUCCACAAUACAUCCUACAUAAAGUCAAGGGAAGAGGGAGACUCCCCCUCUGCAGUCAUAGCUUAGAAGAUAAAAUAAAAACAAGUUUUUACAA